rnacentral:rRNA from 1 species
UGAUGCCUGCCCAGUGACUUAUUAAACGGCCGCGGUAACAUGACCGCGCGAAGGUAGCAUAAUCACUUGUCUUUUAAAUAGAGACUAGAAUGAAUGGCUACACGAGGUUCUAUCUGUCUCUUACAAACAAUCAGUGAAAUUGAUCCCCCCGUGCAAAAGCGAGAAUACCCACAUAAGACGAGAAGACCCUGUGGAACUUCAAGUAUUAACCAAUAUAUUUCAACAUAUACCUCGAAAGAAAAUAAAGACACAGUAUUACCUGGCUAUUACUUUUGGUUGGGGUGACCUCGGAGUAAAACAAAACCUCCGAAAAGAGUAUUCUCAUACCUAGAAUUACACCUCAAAGUGCCCUAAAGCAAAGAGAUCCAAUAUAUUUGAUCAACGAACAAAGCUACCCCAGGGAUAACAGCGCAAUCCCCUCUUAAAGUCCUUAUUGAUGAUGGGGGUUUACGACCUCGAUGUUGGAUCAGGACAUCCUAAUGGUGC